rnacentral:lncRNA from 1 species
UCUGAAGCUGAACUUUGAUGCCACUGUAUGGGAAUGAGUGUGGGUGCCAGCUUUGUCAUUUGAGAUCAUGUUGGUAGGGUCCUAGCUGCUUGUCCUAUGCCUCCUUUUUUCUUGGUCAGUUCCAACUCCAAAGCUUACUACAACUUGGACCAGGCUUAUAUUCCUUAUCGAGCAUCUGCAAGUCAUAUGAAUUUGGAUCCAGAGGCUUGACCCCAAGAUUCGUCAUCUCGAUAUCGGAUCCCAUAUCUGUCCUAUUCUAUUAGAGUGUUGGUUCGUGGUUGGUAUGGUAUGACAGUGUCAGUAUGGUAUGAUAUGAUAUAUCGGUACAGUAUGGUAUGCUUCAUUCCAAAUGAUAUAGAGUGGUACAGUAAAUACUACUUGACCUUAGUUAUAUCAUAGACUAAUGAGGUCUUUUCAUCUCAUUACCCAUCUAUUUUUGAUAUUCACUUGAUCUGCAAAGAACUUGAUUACUUCUAUGCACCUAUGUCUAUUGGGAAGCAAACCACAUUGCCGAUCAUAUGACUAUGGUGUUCUGCUUCAUGGAGAACUACUAUCUAGACCUUGGAUUUCUCUUCUGAGAGUUUGAAGGCACAUGUUGGUUAUGUUUGAAAUACUUGAAGGCACAGUAAAUACUACUUGACCUUAGCUAUAUCAUAGACUAAUGAGGUCUUUUCAUCUCAUUACCCAUCUAUUUUUGAUAUUCACUUGAUCUGCAAA